rnacentral:rRNA from 1 species
CCUACGGGUGGCAGCAGUGAGGAAUAUUGGUCAAUGGACGAGAGCCUGAACCAGCCAAGUAGCGUGAAGGAUGACUGCCCUAUGGGUUGUAAACCUCUUUUAUAAAGGAAUAAAACGAGGCACGUGUGCCUUUUUGCCUGUACCUUACGAAUAAGGAUCGGCUAACUCCGUGCCAGCAGCCGCGGUAAUACGGAGGAUCCGAGCGUUAUCCGGAUUUAUUGGGUUUAAAGGGAGCGUAGGUGGGUUGUUAAGUCAGUUGUGAAAGUUUGCGGCUCAACCGUAAAAUUGCAUUUGAUACUGGCAGUCUAGAGUAUAGUUGAGGUAGGCGGAAUUCGUGGUGUAGCGGUGAAAUGCUUAGAUAUCACGAAGAACCCCGAUUGCGAAGGCAGCUUACUAAACUGUGACUGACGUUGAUGCUCGAAAGUGUGGGUAGCAAACAGGAUUAGAUACCCCUGUAGUC